GCGUAACGCGUAUGUAACCUGCCCGCAACUGGGGAAUAGCCCGGGGAAACCCGGAUUAAUGCCCCAUAUGCUCGUACGGCCUCAUGGUCGAGCGAGGAAAGCUCCGGCGGUAAGAGAUGGGCAUGCGUCCUAUUAGCUUGUUGGUGAGGUAAUGGCUCACCAAGGCGACGAUGGGUAGGGGGCCUGAGAGGGUGAUCCCCCACACUGGUACUGAGACACGGACCAGACUCC
rnacentral:rRNA from 1 species